rnacentral:rRNA from 1 species
AGAGUUUGAUCCUGGCUCAGGACGAACGCUGGCGGCGUGCCUAAUACAUGCAAGUCGAACGGUCUUUUCUAUGGAAGCUUGCUUCCACUGAGAAGAUAGUGGCGGACGGGUGAGUAACACGUGGGUAACCUGUCCAUAAGAGGGGGAUAACAUCCGGAAACGGGUGCUAAUACCGCAUAGUUUUCUUGAUCGCAUGAUUGAGAAAGGAAAGACGGCCUUUGUGCUGUCGCUUAUGGAUGGACCCGCGGCGUAUUAGUUAGUUGGUGAGGUAAUGGCUCACCAAGACGAUGAUACGUAGCCGACCUGAGAGGGUGAUCGGCCACAUUGGGACUGAGACACGGCCCAAACUCCUACGGGAGGCAGCAGUAGGGAAUCUUCCGCAAUGGACGAAAGUCUGACGGAGCAACGCCGCGUGAGUGAAGAAGGUUUUCGGAUCGUAAAACUCUGUUGUCAGAGAAGAACAAGUUGGAGAGUAACUGCUCCAGCCUUGACGGUAUCUGACCAGAAAGCCACGGCUAACUACGUGCCAGCAGCCGCGGUAAUACGUAGGUGGCAAGCGUUGUCCGGAUUUAUUGNNNNUAAAGCNAGCGCAGGCGGUUCCUUAAGUCUGAUGUNAAANCCCACGGCUCAACCGUG